GACGAACGCUGGCGGCGUGCUUAACACAUGCAAGUCGAACGGAAAGGCCCUGCUUUUGUGGGGUGCUCGAGUGGCGAACGGGUGAGUAACACGUGAGUAACCUGCCCUUGACUUUGGGAUAACUUCAGGAAACUGGGGCUAAUACCGGAUAGGAGCUCCUGCUGCAUGGUGGGGGUUGGAAAGUUUCGGCGGUUGGGGAUGGACUCGCGGCUUAUCAGCUUGUUGGUGGGGUAGUGGCUUACCAAGGCUUUGACGGGUAGCCGGCCUGAGAGGGUGACCGGCCACAUGGGGACUGAGAUACGGCCCAGACUCCUACGGGAGGCAGCAGUGAGAAUAUUGCACAAUGGGCGGAAGCCUGAUGCAGCAACGCCGCGUGCGGGAUGACGGCCUUCGGGUUGUAAACCGCUUUCGCCUGUGACGAAGCGUGAGUGACGGUAAUGGGUAAAGAAGCACCGGCUAACUACGUG
rnacentral:rRNA from 1 species